rnacentral:rRNA from 1 species
GUGCCAGCAGCCGCGGUAAUACGUAGGGUCCAAGCGUUAUCCGGAAUCACUGGGCGUAAAGCGUGCGUAGGUGGCGUGUUAAGUGUGAUGUUAAAUCGUGUGGCUCAACCAUAUCGAUGUGUCGCAUACUGGCAUGCUAGAGGGAAGCAGAGGCAAGUGGAAUUUGUAGUGUAGCAGUGAAAUGCGUAGAUAUUACAAGGAACACCAAUGGCGAAGGCAGCUUGCUGGGCUUCUUCUGACACUGAGGUACGAAAGCGUGGGGAGCGAACAGGAUUAGAUACCCUGGUAGUCC